ensembl:lncRNA
CUGCAACUGCCCUAACAGGUCAAGAGAAAUUAUUAAACUGAAACCUGUGGAGGGGAAAAAAUGAAAACACAGGAAGAGUCUCUAAAAUCUAUAAAAUAGUAUCAAAUGACCUGACAUAUAUGUAACUUGAGUCUCAGAAGGGGAGGAGUGAGCAAUGAACCAAAGAAAUUUUUGAAGAGAUAAAGGCUGAGAAUUUUCCAAAACUGAUGGAAGACAUCAAACCACAUACCAAAAGGACACAGAACCCUCAGAAGUUCAUCUGGGUGAAUGCCAACGAGGGGAACUGCUGAGACACAUGGUAAGACUAUGUGUAACUUAGUAAGAAACCGCCGCACCAUCUUCCCCUGUGGCUGCACUACUCUGCAUUCCCACCAGCAGUGAAUCAGCGCUCUGUUGCUCCACAUCCUUGCUGAUAUUUGGUGUUGUCAGUGUUCUGGGUUUCGGCCAUUCUAGUCCCAAGUCACGUGAAUCACGGGAAAGCUCAGAAACCACUGCAAAAUCCAAGAGCAUCUAUGUGAAGCCCACAUCACCAUCUGUGGCCACUACCAGAGGAAGGAGAAAGCAGAUUUCACCUUACUGUAAGUGCCUCUCUCGUUGGCAGAGUGUCAUGGUAAAUGAUAUCCUCAGGGCUGGAAACAAGAGAGUCUGGGAAAUACGGUUCAUAGACUUCUAGCCCCUGACAUGCAGAGGAGCAUCAGAAGGAUAGCACAG